GCCCAGCCCCCGCGAUGAGGACGCGCUCGGGACACUCACGUUUUCUGCACCGGCUUCCGCCGCUUGCGACUGGCGUAGGUGAUGUUGGCGCUGCUGCUGUUCAUGGUGCCCAGCCGACGGCGGCGGCUACUCCCCGGGCACUGGCGGCCGGGUCCCCGGAACCCGGUGUAGGCUGGGACCACUGCGGCGGCCGGCGCCGGGUUCCGCGAAGCCGCGCCCGCUCCACCUGCGUCCUCUCGGGACAGUGGCGUGGGCGCCGCGCCUCAACGCCUCGGCUCACGCAGGCUUCCGCAGCCCGCGCCAGUACAGUGUUGUGAACCACUUGUCAUGGGAUAACCAAAAUUAAACCUGGAAUCGCAGAAGAAACAAAUUUUUUGAAGAAAUUGGAUGUACUUUUUUAAAAUUUUUCAUUCAACUAAAACUUUGUUAACUGUUUCUUGGUUGUGGUCUUCUCUAAAUUGUAAUCUUUGGCAUUCACUUCCAAAGUAUCCACCACUAAACUUCAUAACAUUUAUUGUGUCUCUUCAUCAUUAAACUUUGAUGAAUUUACAGAGUGUCUUUUGAAAUUAUGUUCUUGAGAAAGGUAAGUUCCCUAAAAAUCCCACCACCUCAGGAACAGAAUUUUCUAAAACUGUUGUAUCUACCUAAGUUACCUAUUUUUGUCUUUUGUCUGGAGUCCACUUGUCCUCAAAACAAAAUUAAUGUUGUAUUCCCUUUUGGUCAAGGACACAUUAAACAUUUCGUGCAGCAUGCACAUUUUUCAGGGA
rnacentral:lncRNA from 1 species